CUUCUGUUGGUUUGCAUUUAAGCAAAGUGCCCAUGAAAUGUCACGCUUCAUUUGUUGAGUUUUCUUUAUAGCAUACUGCCAAAUUUUCUUCCUUUUCUAGAUAUUAUGCUAUCUUAAAGAUAUUCGUUAAAUUGCUUAAUGAGCCAAAGAGAAAACUGUUACUCUUCACUUAAAUUAUUCCUUUCAGAAACUUUCCAUUUUAAAGUUCUGUGAAAGAGGGAAAAAGGACCUUUACCUGAAGAUUAUUAAGUACUCUUCCAUCAGAUACAACUCAUCUUCAAUUAUAGAGGGCUAAGAGUGUUUCUCAAGAAUUAUCUAGACUCAUGGUUCCACCUCCUUCUCCUUGCUGUGGAUGAACCAUGUGAUGAAUAUGUCUUAAAUUUUAGUAGAAAAGAACCCCCAAUGCUUCUCCGCCCUGCCAGUCGGGGCGGACCAAACAGGUACCACGGAACGCCGGGGACGAGCGCGCCGGAACCAGGCUUCGGUUAAGACAAAUCAGCUGCAAUUGGGUCAUUCCUGUCCAGUCACAAGGCACAUUGUCCGCCUCCUUUGUUGCGGACUGCUUCAUGUGACUGAGCUCUUGAUAUCGGAUGGCAGCAGAAGCCUGAUGCGCCCUUCUGCACUACGCUUUCAAGGAACUAGUCAUUGUAUGCAUUUCCCACAAGCACAGUGACCUUGGAAGCCACACGUUUAAGAUGGCAGAAACUCUGUCCUACCAAGUCCCUGAAUGACUUGGAGUUCAUGGGGCAGAACCCUUCUAAGCUGGAACACCCCUCUGGACCAUUUCGUUAGAAAUUAAAGCUUCUAUUGUGUUUGAAGGAUUAUAUUUUAAGGUCUAUGUUUUAAAAUGAGUAAGUCUACUUUAAUUAGUUAUGAUCUUAAAAAAUUAGAUACUUUAUUUUUCCCCUGGAAGUAGCCUUGAUGUUAUUUAUUUGCUAAUUUAUAAAGCUUUUGUUCUUCUGAAAUAAACCUUUUUUUGGAUAUACUUGGUUUUAAAUCCUGGCUCCACCACUUAGGAGCUAUGUAAUCAGGAUAAUUACCUCUGAGCUUCAGUUCUUUUCUGAGCUUUACAGUUCCAUCUGUAAAAUGGGAUGAUACCUUCUUCAUAGCCUGUUAUGAGACUUAGUGAGAUAAUGCUUAUAAAACACUGCCUGGAACAUAGGAAGACUUCAAUAAACAGUAGCAGUUUUUAUUGUAAUAAGAAUAAUUUUUAUUUAAAGUUUAUUUAU
rnacentral:lncRNA from 1 species